AUGGAGAGAGUUCGUCCCCGACCGCGCCUGAGGUCUCCAACGGCAUACUGGGCGCCAUGCCGAUUGCUCCUCCGCGCAUGCCGCUGUGUUUGCCUCAGGGAAAGGAUGAAGGAGUUGAUGUUGCUUAAACAGAAGGGCACCGUGGAGGAAUACAAACAACAAUUUCAGCAGCUAGUUUACCACAUCAGGCUAUAUGAACCCACCAUCAGCAGUACUUUCCUAGUUACUAGGUUUGUGAUGGGUUUGAAAGAGGAGUUGCGUUCAGCAGUGGAGAUGCAACUUCCGGCAACUGUUCAGUUAGCUGCCAUGUAUGCUGCAGUGCAGGAAGGACUGUUGGAACAGCAGAAAAACUUCAAGCCCACUUAUCAGAAACACACAGUUUCCAGGACAGAUGCAAAGCAGAGUUUCGUUCCUGGAGAGCUAUGGAAGGCCAAAUAA
rnacentral:rRNA from 1 species